UGAUAUACUGGGAUGAAGCUGUAAAUUCUA
rnacentral:piRNA from 1 species